rnacentral:rRNA from 1 species
GGCGAACCGUACGAACGUUAUUCGGAAUCACUGGGCUUAAAGGGUGCGUAGGCGGCGCGACAAGUUGGGUGUGAAAUCCCUCGGCUCAACCGAGGAACUGCGCCCAAAACUGUCGUGCUCGAGGGAGACAGAGGUGAGCGGAACUUAGGGUGGAGCGGUGAAAUGCGUUGAUAUCCUAAGGAACACCGGUGGCGAAAGCGGCUCACUGGGUCUCUUCUGACGCUGAGGCACGAAAGCUAGGGUAGCGAACGGG